AGACCCGAAACCCGGUGAUCUAGCCAUGGGCAGGUUGAAGGUUGGGUAACACUAACUGGAGGACCGAACCGACUAAUGUUGAAAAAUUAGCGGAUGACCUGUGGCUGGGGGUGAAAGGCCAAUCAAACCGGGAGAUAGCUGGUUCUCCCCGAAAGCUAUUUAGGUAGCGCCUCGUGAAUUCAUCUCCGGGGGUAGAGCACUGUUUCGGCUAGGGGGCCAUCCCGGCUUACCAACCCGAUGCAAACUGCGAAUACCGGAGAAUGUUAUCACGGGAGACACACGGCGGGUGCUAACGUCCGUCGUGAAGAGGGAAACAACCCAGACCGCCAGCUAAGGUCCCAAAGUCAUGGUUAAGUGGGAAACGAUGUGGGAAGGCCCAGACAGCCAGGAUGUUGGCUUAGAAGCAGCCAUCAUUUAAAGAAAGCGUAAUAGCUCACUGGUCGAGUCGGCCUGCGCGGAAGAUGUAACGGGGCUAAACCAUGCACCGAAGCUGCGGCAGCGACGCUGAUGCGUUGUUGGGUAGGGGAGCGUUCUGUAAGCCUGCGAAGGUGGCCUGUGAGGGUUGCUGGAGGUAUCAGAAGUGCGAAUGCUGACAUAAGUAACGAUAAAGCGGGUGAAAAGCCCGCUCGCCGGAAGACCAAGGGUUCCUGUCCAACGUUAAUCGGGGCAGGGUGAGUCGACCCCUAAGGCGAGGCCGAAAGGCGUAGUCGAUGGGAAACGGGUUAAUAUUCCCGUACUUGGUGUUACUGCGAAGGGGGGACGGAGAAGGCUAUGUUGGCCGGGCGACGGUUGUCCCGGUUUAAGCGUGUAGGUGUGUGUUCCAGGUAAAUCCGGUUCACUUUAACACUGAGGCGUGACGACGAGGCACUACGGUGCUGAAGCAACAAAUGCCCUGCUUCCAGGAAAAGCCUCUAAGCAUCAGGUAACAUCAAAUCGUACCCCAAACCGACACAGGUGGUCAGGUAGAGAAUACCAAGGCGCUUGAGAGAACUCGGGUGAAGGAACUAGGCAAAAUGGUGCCGUAACUUCGGGAGAAGGCACGCUGACAUGUAGGUGAAGUGAUUUACUCAUGGAGCUGAAGUCAGUCGAAGAUACCAGCUGGCUGCAACUGUUUAUUAAAAACACAGCACUGUGCAAACACGAAAGUGGACGUAUACGGUGUGACGCCUGCCCGGUGCCGGAAGGUUAAUUGAUGGGGUCAGCGCAAGCGAAGCUCCUGAUCGAAGCCCCGGUAAACGGCGGCCGUAACUAUAACGGUCCUAAGGUAGCGAAAUUCCUUGUCGGGUAAGUUCCGACCUGCACGAAUGGCGUAAUGAUGGCCAGGCUGUCUCCACCCGAGACUCAGUGAAAUUGAACUCGCUGUGAAGAUGCAGUGUACCCGCGGCAAGACGGAAAGACCCCGUGAACCUUUACUAUAGCUUGACACUGAACAUUGAGCCUUGAUGUGUAGGAUAGGUGGGAGGCUUUGAAGUGUGGACGCCAGUCUGCAUGGAGCCGACCUUGAAAUACCACCCUUUAAUGUUUGAUGUUCUAACGUGGACCCGUGAACCGGGUUGCGGACAGUGUCUGGUGGGUAGUUUGACUGGGGCGGUCUCCUCCUAAAGAGUAACGGAGGAGCACGAAGGUUGGCUAAUCCUGGUCGGACAUCAGGAGGUUAGUGCAAUGGCAUAAGCCAGCUUGACUGCGAGCGUGACGGCGCGAGCAGGUGCGAAAGCAGGUCAUAGUGAUCCGGUGGUUCUGAAUGGAAGGGCCAUCGCUCAACGGAUAAAAGGUACUCCGGGGAUAACAGGCUGAUACCGCCCAAGAGUUCAUAUCGACGGCGGUGUUUGGCACCUCGAUGUCGGCUCAUCACAUCCUGGGGCUGAAGUAGGUCCCAAGGGUAUGGCUGUUCGCCAUUUAAAGUGGUACGCGAGCUGGGUUUAGAACGUCGUGAGACAGUUCGGUCCCUAUCUGCCGUGGGCGCUGGAGAACUGAGGGGGGCUGCUCCUAGUACGAGAGGACCGGAGUGGACGCAUCACUGGUGUUCGGGUUGUCAUGCCAAUGGCACUGCCCGGUAGCUAAAUGCGGAAGAGAUAAGUGCUGAAAGCAUCUAAGCACGAAACUUGCCCCGA
rnacentral:rRNA from 1 species